CACAAUGAUUUCUAUUUAUUCCAUUUAUUUGAAGAGCAGCAGUCAACAACUGAAUCCUGCAAAAGUGCCUGUUUGAUUGUUUUAUCACAUUAAUCACAGUAAAUCCAGGAGGAAAGUGAAUGUGUUUUCAGGAGUCUGUUGAGUGGAGAGUGUUUUGCAUGUUUACUGCUCCACACACAAAACUCCUCUGAUGAUCAGUGUGUGUUCAGUCCUGACAGAGUCUCUGACACACUGAACAAUGAUGUCUCUUUUACUGAUUCUGACUACACUGACUCUGCUGGCGCAAGUGUCUCAUCAAGAGGUCCAGACUCCUAAAUCUCUGUCUGUUAAAGCAGGAGAAUCUGCCACUAUUAGCUGCACUGCGUCUUCUGGAAUUGGUUAUGACAUGAGCUGGUAUCUGCUGAAACCUGGAAAAACUCCUAAACUUUUGAUCUACACAACGAGUAACCUUGCAUCCGGAGUUUCAAACCGGUUCAGUGGAAGUUAUUCUGGAUAUCAAUUUAUGCUGAACAUACGUGGAGUCCAGACUGAAGAUGCAGGAGAUUAUUACUGUAUGGGGGCUUACAGUGGAGUGUUCACACAGUGAAACAACAUCGUACAAAAACUUCCCUCAGUCAGACGGCACAAUGAAUUUACUCAAGCAGUAUGAACUAAUUUACAUUAAAUAAGAAAUUAUUUCUUCAGUAUGAACAGAAUAGAAUCUAAUUAAACAUGCAAAUUAGUGCAUAAUCAGAAAAUCUGGUAUAUUUAAACAUAACAUUUCAGAAAACUUGAAAUUAAAAUAUGUAUGCAAUUCUUAAUGUAAUCAAUCAACUGUGGAAGUAUUGUGAAAUCUUUUAGUUUAUUACUAUUAUUAUUAUUAUUAUUGUACCCUUUUCAUCUGGCUUGUCUUGCCAUUUUUUCUUACAUCUUGUUCAAAUGCACAAUUCUUGACAAUAAGAAUUCAGACUAUUAGCCCUAAAUUUAAUGUAAUCUAAUUAAAAUAAGUAUAAAUGUAUUCAAUAAAAUAUUUUUAUUGUCACUGUCAUUUUUUAAAUACCUUAUUUUAGAUUUUGAUGAAUGUUUAAAAAUCAAAA